rnacentral:lncRNA from 1 species
GCGGUUUACUGAUGGGCGCUCCCACCAUCUGUGGCUUCCUACUCAAAAUAAUUGUUCUUGCUGCGUAGGUGCUAAACUCGGCUAUUUCUAGACCAACAAUAAGAUUUUAAAUUGCUCAUUUUUCCAAGAAUUUUUUUUCUUAAAAAAAUUUUUUUUUUGAGAGACUGUGUGUAUGUGUGUGAGAGAGAGAGAGAAUCUCAAGCCAACUGUCCGCUGAGCGUGGAACCCGACGCAGGGCUCCAUGUCCUCACCCGUGAGAUCAUGACAUGAGCUGACAUCAAGAGUCCGCUGAACCGGGCCAAGCCCCCCGGGCACCCCGAGAAUCCUUGUAGUCUUCAGCAAUCAUCUGCACGCUCCCCAGCCUGGAGAAUCUCUUUUGUUUCUAUGGAUUUGCCCGUUGAGGACGUUUCAUCCGAAUCGAUCCUGCAGCCUGUGGCCUUCCGCGACCGGCUGCCCUCACUGCUUUCACCCGCGUCGUAGCCCAGUCACCGCUUCCUUCCUCCUGCCUGGGAAUGACAUCCCGUCGCACAAUGCAUCACUUUUUGCUUGUCCGCUCGUUCGUCAGUUGGUGGGCAUCUGGCUCGUCUCUGUUUGGGCCCCCGCGAAGAGCGUGCUGGGGGCGUGGUGUCCUGGGUCAGGUGUCCUGAUCACCGAGAGCAGCUUGGCUCAGACCAUCUUUCCUGGUGACAAGCCAUGCGAUGGCAGCCACCGCCCUGCCACCCACCUCUGCCCCCCCCCCCCACAGCUGCCCAGGGCUCAGGGCCUCCUGGGGUCUUCUGUGACAUGCCAUCCGUCUCCUCUUUCCUCCUUCAGUUCUUGGGAACAGGCCGUUAAGGCAGUUUGGGGCAGUCAUCCGGCCCUUCCCUUCCGGUCACGCGGUGGCUGCAAACACUCUCCCCUUUGUUGGGCAGACCGCAGUGGCCAGAGUCAGCCUCGCAAGGACUUGCGUCCGUCCGUCCGUGGCUGCCCUAGGCUGGUUUUCCCUUCCCUCACCACUUGGCCCUGGGCCCUGGGCCUUUCCCUUCAGCCUCCGCCCGGAUCCCAGCAGGGGUCGGGGUCGCCGCCGGAGAGGGCAGCCCAGGCCUUCCUAUGCAUU